CCAACUCAACAGAUCCUGUUCUCAUCUCAGACAAAAUCUCUCAGGUAUGCUGGUGCUGCAGUGUUCCUCUUAAACCUGUUUCUUGUUGCUACUUGCACCCCCCGAUUGCUAUCAUUCCCUAGCCCAUCAAAAACACUUUGUCGUCAAGGUGUUGGCUCUAGGAAGAUUGAACCUGGAUCCCAAAUUAGAAUAGGUGUAGGAAUGAGUGAAUGUAUAUUAGUGGCACGGAGACAGAACCAGUUAGCGGCAUCGCUGUGCAGGAUGACACUGCUGUAGGGGAUCGUGUUGCAGUGGUCGUGGCGAUAAUGUUGGUGGACAGUGCGAAACACCCCCAGCAAAAUCACUUGCGCCGCAGCGUGUUUCGUUACCAGAGGGGGCAGCUUGGACGGGAAGUGCGAUGUCGAUAUUGGCCGCGACGACAACAAAACUGCUUGUGUCGCAACCUGUGUCAUCGACAGAGGGGGCACCUCCUCUCCUUUUCUGGCCAUGGGGAGCAGAUCCAACAGAGUCGGCAUGGUUUUUGUGCAUUGUCGCGCCAUCGGUGUCGUUGGUGUUGCAGAAACCUUAGGUGACCUUCGCGAAUCAUCUGUUGGCGGUGACUUCAUGGUGUCCACGGGUUGUAGAGAUGUGUUGUCAACGUGGAACGCGGUGGCGGUGAAAUCAAAGCUAAGACGGGAGAGGUUGGUGUCUAUGUUCUGUGGUUCCAUUAUUAUGGUCUCCACAGGUGGGGGUGAUUUGGGAGGGGAUGGAGUGGGUGUGAAAGCAGAUAGGCGGUUAAGGAUGACAUCAAGCUUGGCGUUCAUCUCCAAUGUCUUGGUGGUCAUGGUGGAUAGGUUCUGGGUAAAGUAGUAUACAGCCUCUUCAAAGAGGUCCAUCGUGGUUUGGUGGCUGGAAAGAGCGAACAUGGUUGAUGACAGGGGUAGAGGUAGAAGUUCCGGCAGAGGUAGUUGCUGAUGGAUGGUAAUAUGGAGGGGAUGUCAUGGGAAGAGAUGGUUUGCGCUGGCAUGGCAGCCAUGGAAGGCAGUCAUUGUCUCUCAAUGAAAGCACCAAAUUUGUUAGACUCUCUGGUUUAGAGGACCAGAAACCUCCCAAGAAGAAGAAGAGAAAUAGGAAAACUCAAGUAAUUUCAUUGUCUCUACCUUAUUACAUUGUUCAUCUAUUUAUAGUGCUAUGAGAAUAACUGAAUUUGUCAUUUUGUCCUAGCAUAAUCCUAACGGAAUUGUGAAAACAAAACGCUAAUGGCAGACAAGCUACGUAGGGAAUAAUGGCAGACAAGAUACGAAGGGAAGAUACUGUUGCCAACUCAGCAGAUCCUGUUCUCAUCUCAGACAAAAUCUCUCAGGUAUGCUGGUGCUGUAGUAUUCCUCUUAUGCCUGUUUCUUGUUACUGCUUGCACCCCUGAUUGCUAUCAGAAGGUAACAUUUUUUACUCAUGAUUCUUUUGACUUUCAUUUGUUCUUCUCUCUUACGCUGACAACAUUGUUUGGAUGAUAUGCAUUGUGUGAUUUUCGUUUGCUUAUUACUGUGGUUUGAUUAUCCCAACAUGUACAUUUCUGGUGUCGAGAUAUAAUUUUACAAGUUUUCCUCUUAGUAUUAAAUUAGGAGAUUGUUUGAAUAUUGUAGUUACUUUUGUUGAAGGAAGAGGGUGACAUUUCAUUCAGAUUAUAAAGCUUGCUACCAUAGUCUAGGCAUCCAGGGUAAAGUGGUAAAUAAUCAAUUUUAGUUUAACUGAAUACUCCCCCUUUUUGGAUUAUUUUUUGUAAUUGAAGUUGAAUUUUUCGUAUUUGUAUCUAAUUUUUCAUAUUUGUCACCAGGGGAUGGAUUUAUGGUGGAAAAAUUUGAGUAUGAAUCUAAAUAGGAUUUGGAACCUUGAAUUUGAGCUUCGUUGACUAUAUUGACUUUGAAAUUCGAAAAUUAGGGUAACAUGUCUAUUAAUUUAGUGAACAACAAUGAAGCAACAGAGGAAGCAUUACUAAAAGAUGAUUUUGUACAGAAAGCAAAUAAAGGGGAACAGUUUCCUCUUGAGUUGAAAAGCCUCCAUUAGAAUAUCAAGGUCAAAAGGCUCUGUACAAUAAUUAGUACGUACCACAAGACAAAGAUGAUUUCUGAAUAAGUUGAUCCAACUACAUCCCAUCUAUUUUUCUGAUUUCUAUAUCUUCUACAACGUUGUGUAAAUAUUGUGCGUCUAUAAUUGAAACAGGAAGCAUACUGUUGCAGAAAAACUCAAAAUGCAGGAGUAAUUUGAAGUGAUUUAAUAGGUCCACAACACCAGUGAAUUCUCUUGGUCAUAAGAGUUCAAAUAACAUUUGUGAGAAUCAGAAAGUGAUGAGUCUUAAAUUUGUCACCUCAAUUAAAAUUAACUUGAUUUCCUUAAUGCAGGAUUUGAUGCUGAAAUUUUGUGGGAGUGAUGAUUCUGCUUUUGCUGACCUUGGCGAGAGAAUUGAUUUGAUCAAGAAUUUGGACGAAUUAACACUAGCUUAGAGGGCCUCAAUUGAAGAAAUUGAAGAUGAAUUACAUGCUGCAAGUGCUAAGAUGUUGAAGAAGGUCAUCAAAAUUAAAAAGGAUCGAUGUACUUGAUUAUUGAAAGCCAAAUGUAUCUAAAGAAUUUUUUUUGUUAUUUCAUGUUUGUCUUUGUUUUGUGUUUGAUUUGAAUUUUGUAUUUCGAACUUGAUAUUCCUUGAACUUAAGUUCGAUGAAGUCAACUAAUCUUCUAAGGUAAAACCAAACUCUAUCCUUAUUUUAGUUGUCAUAAUAUGAUUUAUAAAAGAAUAAGAUAACAUAUGACAUUCCAAA
rnacentral:lncRNA from 1 species